UACAGAGGUCUCAAGCGUUGUUCGGAUUCAUUGGGCGUAAAGGGUGCGUAGGUGGCGCUGUAAGUCGGGUGUGAAAUUUCGGAGCUUGACUCCGAAACUGCAUUCGAUACUGCGGUGCUUGAGGACUGGAGAGGAGACUGGAAUUCAUGGUGUAGCAGUGAAAUGCGUAGAGAUCAUGAGGAACACCAGUGGCGAAGGCGGCUCACUGGUCCGGUACUGACGCUGAGGUGCGAAAGCGUGGGGAGCAAACAGG
rnacentral:rRNA from 1 species